GGGAGCUUAGAUGUGGAAGCUCUUUGGAAACCAAGAAACACUCUGAAAAUGAAAAGGAUACCAACUUCAUCUCUCUUUAAGAAUACAAUAUUAGUUUAAAAGAUUGUUCAACUUAAAGCAAUCUUGUAGAGAUUGUCACCCAUGAUUGAUGCUGGGUGGAAGAGUAAACUGUUCCUGUUUCUCCAUCUUGACAGGAAGCAGAAGUUCUCCUUAGCUGAUUUUUCUUCUUGCCUUAUACUGGGUUCUUUAACACCAGAACAAAAAUAAAUAAAUAAAAGAAUCUUCCAGAAAUUCAUGAAGAGACUUCAGGUCAGGAAAGCCUGAACUUUCUCAUCCAACACCCGUUCAAGUCGGAGGAUGCUGAUUAAUUCAUGAUGGAAAGGUAUCAAUUUCACAGCCCAGACCUCUACAUUCUUGAAAUGCUCUUCUCAUGGGAGACAUUAAAUAAGCUUUGAAUUAACUGAAUGUACAGGGUGUACCAUGAACAAUUCUGACAUGUGAUUUAAUCUAUGUGGGACUACAUUUUAAAUACAUUUGGGAAGGAUUGAACAAUGAAGUGGAGCCCAUCAAUAUUGGUACUGAAAAUGAGACAUGCCAUGACACCCAGGAUGCAGCUGUAGGAACACCACUGGGUCCCUGGAUGUCAUGUAAGCCCUUAAGUAAAAGUGCCAUCAAAUGAUUUCUCAGAAAUUAUAAAGAAACAAAAGGACCAUAAACAAGAUAAGGUGGCAUGAGGAAACAUUACAAGUACCUUUCAGAGCUGACUGGCAAAGAAACUCCUGAGGUGACGGUUCUACCCCAAUAUUACUUCUUCGAAGAGCAACCUAACUGACCUUGUAUUGAAGACAGCGUAACCCCCAAGAGGAAAGGAGCUUGGAGCCCUGAAUCAGAGUAGAAGACAGGCUGAAUGAAUACCAGCCUUGGACUGUUGUGUGAAUGAAAAACAAGUUUUGAGAUUUGUGUGGUUUAUUUAUUAUAGUUACUGUUAUUAUUAAAGUUUUUCACUGC
rnacentral:lncRNA from 10 species